UGGGGAAUAUUGGACAAUGGGCGAAAGCCUGAUCCAGCCAUGCCGCGUGAGUGACGAAGGCCUUAGGGUUGUAAAACUCUUUCGUCGGGGACGAUAAUGACGUUACCCGAAGAAGAAGCUCCGGCUAACUUCGUGCCAGCAGCCGCGGUAAUACGAAGGGAGCUAGCGUUGUUCGGAAUCACUGGGCGUAAAGCGCACGUAGGCGGAUAGUUAAGUCAGGGGUGAAAUCCUGGGGCUCAACCCCAGAACUGCCUUUGAUACUGGCUGUCUCGAGGUCGAGAGAGGUUGGUGGAAUUCCUAGUGUAGAGGUGAAAUUCGUAGAUAUUAGGAAGAACACCAGUGGCGAAGGCGGCCAACUGGCUCGAUACUGACGCUGAGGUGCGAAAGCGUGGGGAGCAAACAGGAUUAGAUACCCACGUAGUCCCUGAGCGGGCUGGCAAGGCGCAU
rnacentral:rRNA from 1 species